CUCUACUCAUGGCAAGGGGGCACAGGCAGACGUUAGUGCAGUCUUCUUUGCUCUUUUUUUCUCCUCUUUAAACUGCCUAUGUUAUUGGCUCUGCUUACAAAACUAUCAGUGUAAUCCUGGGGGGGGGGCACCUUGGAAGAUGACUAGGAGUUACACCAGCAUAUCCUGGACUUACACAAUUGUAACCCCCCCCCCCAUGGCACAGCAGCCUGGCGAUACUCCUCCUAGGGCGCCCACCCGAUCACUGUGGCUUGGCAUGGGUAUAACAGGGACAUCUGGAACUUAGGAUGCAGAUUUCCCUGGGAACUAAUCUUCUCGCAACCCCGCAGCAACUGAGCCCCCUUCCGUGCGUCCAAUCAGCUCCACAGGAAUGCUACAUAACCUCUGGCCAUUCCUUCAUGACCCCAGGUAAGUGGAGAGGCAGCCAGAGGCUCUGCCUGAGAGUCCCGUGCUGUGGGGACUUAGAGCAUGAGGCAGGAGAGAGUGUUUGCAGUGGUGGGGCAAGAGUGCACUGGGGGAAUUUAGCAAAAUUCAGGGUGCACCUCACACUCACAUGUGGGAGGAGACUCUUAUUCAGAAUAUCUAACAACUUCCACCUGAGUUUUCUUGCAAGUUACCCAUCUCUUGAGUGCUGGCUCAGGGAAGGGCAACGGCACACUGACAGGUAAGAUGGAGCUGGGGAGGCGUCUGCUUGACUUGCUUGUUUGCCUUUCUUCCACCUUUCCCCCAUUUGCACCCUGCCCCAAAUGCUGGCCUCUGCAGUUGGCCCCCCUCUGGGCCAGGUUUGCCUCCUUCAUGGGGUUCCUAAACGUUGUGGGUACAGUGGACUGCUCGCACAUGUCCCUCUGCAUUCCUGGUGUGGAGCCUCAGGGGAGCCUUUAUUUAUACAUUUAUAUAUUUAUAUACUUUCUUCUAAAUGAGAGAUACAAGACAAGCACCUGAUUGGGUCUCUUCAGUGAUUGUCAAAGUCUGGUCAAGAAUAGACAUGGGCACGAUCUAAAUUACGAUUUCAAAAAAAACCCCAAUUUUGGCGUUUGCGCCAUCGUGACUCAGCUAAUCGGUUCCGUCCACGGCAACCGAUCCAGCAGUCGGGGGUUUGCUUGUUUGGGACUUGAUCGGAUAUAUUGGUUUCUGUUUGGAAUUGCAGACACUCUUGCGCCAGUAAUUUAUUCCCAGGGCAACGGAGCCAGGGGAAUGAGCUGUGUUUGCCCUCCUUCUGUCGCCCUCGAAACACGAAUGGAAGCCCAGCUUUCCUUGAUUAGCAGGCUUCCUUCCAACCACGGAGCAACAACCCAGGGGAGGGAGGGGGAAGGGGGUGUUCUGAAGCCAUGGGCACAAAGGAAAGGCAAAAGGCAGCGCGGGAGGCUGGGAGGUCACCCGCGCCGUUCGUCUUUCCCCAGGACAAGGGGGGCAUGGGCAACCCAACCGCCCCUUGUCCUGGGGAAAGGCAAAAGGCAGCGCGGGAGGCUGGGAGGCUGCCCACGCCGUUCGCCUUUCCCCAGGACAAGGGGUGCGUGGGCAAGCCGGUCACCCCUUGUCUUGCGGGGCAGGUGAACGGCGCGGGCAGCUGCCAAGCCACUUGUGCUGCUACCAGCUCCGCAGCGCACCGGGACAGCCGGCUUGCUGCAUGGGCGGGGGGGGCAACCCAGGAGCGCGCGCGCAAGAGCCUGACUACGGUUGCCCUGGGUGCUGGCAACCGUAGAUCCAGCCCUGGGAAUGUCCCCUCCCUGAGGGGAGGUGGCUCGUUGCCGGGUUAAAAACUUCCCCCCCUCUACUCUAAGUGUGUGUGUGUGUGUGUGUGAGAAUGUUCCCUCCCUCCCUGAAGGGAGGCGGAUCAUCGCCUCCUCCCCCUGCCCGAAGGGCCUGGCGGCCGCUGCCACAAACCACCAUUCCUAUAUCGCUGGAAACAGCAGGGCGCCCUCCUGCUUUGGCCUUCCCGAUUCCGGAUUGGAAAUGGGACUUGAUCGGUUAGAAUCGGUGGCCUGGGUUCGGCAGCGGCCCGGAUCCACGAACGGCUUAAUCGGUAUUUUUUUUUUAUCGUGCCCAUCUCUAGUCAAGAAGCUUUUUGGCCUGUGAAAUAGCUGCUUGCUAUUGCAGAUUCAGUUCUUUCAGUCUUGAACUGUUUGCUGUGGUCACCAUUUAAGUUUUAUUAAUUGUUCCUUUUACACCAUUUCUAUCAUUAGGCAGUAUCUCCAAUGCCAUGGUAUAACAGCACUAAUCACCUCAGACGGAAAAUAAAAUAGGAGAGGUAUUUUUCUGCCAAUAUCAAUAAAUAGAGGGGGAAGCAGAUUAAUGAUUAUAAGGAGAAGAUGCUGAAGGCAAACAAAGAACCUAAACUAUAAGACUCACUUCAAGUUGAAUGUUUUCUUUUUACUAGGAAACAUGAAGGAAACAUUUAGCAAACAUGAAGGUGAGGGCUGCUAUGAAAAAGCACCAUAUCUGGAUACAUAAUACUGCUUCUCCUUACAUUGUGGUAAACCAUUCAAGCAGGGAUUGACAACCAGCACUAUGCUUUCUACCAUGUAUGAGAAAGCAGUGUCAUCAAACAAAAUGAACAUAUCCCAUUUAGUCAGUCACAUCCAAACAGCUCACCGAGCAAUCGGCUACCUGCUGACAGUUGGUGAGCAGCAGGUGAACUAAAGCAACAGGUUCUCAAGCAUUUAUUGUUAGAUCCAGCCACUAAAGGGAAGUGGGGCAGCCGCACUUACGCCAAUGUAGCAUUCAUUUUACAAUUUUUUUUUAAGUCAGACAUUGGAGUUUCUGUCAUGGAAACCUAAAAACUCAUUUCCUCUUCCCAGCCAUGGCCUUUUUACAUUUCUACCCUCUUCCUUCCUUUUCUCUUUCUUAUUGUCGGGGUGACAUACGUUUUGAGAAGUCAGAAUGCAAAACGGGUUGGUGAUAUGCAAUCAGUAUUCAGAAAAGUUAACAAGGAUGUCAUGCAUUGAAUGUUUCUCUUUUAGUGAGAUAAUGAUGACAUGUGUGUGUGUAAUCUCCAUGAGAGGACUCAAGACAGGGCAUUUAAUUUUUAAUGGAAAAUGCAUGGGCUCCUUCUUUUCACCAAUAACAGCAUGAUUCAAAGUAUGAUUCUUCAGGGAUAAAUCCCUCCCCCCAACUUGAUCUUCCCAGCUCGGGAGGACCCACAGACAUCCCCUCAGGCUUCUUCAUGGGUCACAGACUUACCCCAAGUCCUAAGGGAAGGAGAACCAGCCACCCCAUGCUGCCAGCCACUGCCUCCUCUGACUGUCCCAGGAUGGCCCUGCUCUCCCAGUACUGAGGCCACGGGUCCCCAAAGGAAGCAAGCUAGGAUGGCAAACGGCCUGGAGGAGGAACCCAGCCAUCCUGAGGGCUCACAAUAUCAUCUGCAUACAGUAAAAUAACAUUGUAUGGAUGUGACAUUGUUACCAGCCUGGCAAUGCAAUCCUAUUCAAAGUUACUCCAGUAACAUAUUGGCUUUAGGCUGUGAAUAACUUUGCACAGGAUUGAACUGUAAGAGAGAGGUUCACAAGCUUAUAGGAGGGUGAAGUUGCAGCUGGGGUGGAGAGCAUGGAUUGUACCAUAGUGAAGGGUGCUUAGGAGGAACCUGGCAGCAGCCCCUUGUGGUCAACGCCACCAUUCCUUUGUUGGGCAGCAAAGGUAGCAGACUGUUACCCUCCCUCCCUGAGUGCCUGCCACAGCCAGGUGGUUUCUCGUCACAACUUUACAGUGGUUUUGAGGCAUUGGGACAGAUCUACCGGGGUGAGUUGUGCUGUGUUGCAGCUCCUCCCCCUUUUCAGGAUCCCCUUAAAGGAUCUGAGGGAAGCCCAGGGGUCAUUUCAUAGAAAAAAAAGCUGGAGGAACUCAUUAGCAUAACUCAUUAGCAUAUGCCACACCCCCUGCCAUCACCGGAAGUGUGUCAUUGGCAUAACUGAUUUGCAUAUGCCACAUACCCUGACAUCACCUAUCCUGACUGUUUUGGACCCAAUCCUGGCCAUUCAGGGCCGAAACAGGGCUGAAAAUGGCAAAAAGGGGCUGAAAAUGGCCGAAAAGCGGUCCAAAAUGGUCAGGAUCAGGCCACUGCUGAGUGGGAGAGUGAUCCACCACCCGUCAGAGGCCUGAUCCGGGCUGUUUCAGCCCAAUCCAGGCUGGAACGGGCCCAAAAUGGCCAAGAGUCAGGUGGGUGGGGCCACCUGACAUGUGACCUCUUUGGGGAACUGCUGGAACUGCGUUCCUGCGUGUUCCCCCUCGAAAUGAGCCCUGGGGAAGCCAAAGGGUACACACCUGGGCUGGCUGUUGCAGGCUUCACCCUGGGUUGCAGACACUGCCUGGGCCAUGCCUGGGUGGGAGUACAUCCCCUGCCAUCCCGAGGUGCCCAGCAGGCGUGCUGGGAAAGCAUACCAUCAAGUGGCAAGGUACCAUUCAAUGCAGUAGAUCUGUAGCCCUAUGCCUCGCCAAUGAUCCAAUGGCUGUAAUCAAUAAAGUUGCUAGUUUUCAUUCAAAGAUGGUAUGUGGUGUAUUCCUUUCCAGGACACCAGCCUCACUAUUAUCCUAUACAGAUACAACUAUAGCUGCAAAAAGUGUUAAUGCCAUUUAUGUUGCAUUAAUGGCAACACAGGUUUGGAUCUAAACUAGCUGUUCAGAUAUGUCCUCCAAAUCCUAUUCUGGGUGCAUUUGGGGCUGUUGUUGAGAGAGGUGAGAGUCAUGGUCUGUGGGUAGAAAUCCUUGAACUUGCAGUUAUGCUUGUCUGAAUCAAACAAAGUGGUUUUUAUGAAACAUAAAAGAAAGGGUAAAGGACUAAAAGGAAAGAUGAAGUGGGAUUACAAACAAUAUAUAUUGCAAAGUAACUGAAAAGCAAAUGGUUAUAUGGUAGUAAAAGAAUAAAAAUAUAUGGUUAUACGGAAAUGCAGUAGAAUUGGAUCUAUAUUUCUAAUCUUCCUGCUAUUUCUACUGCUUUCUGUACAAACCCAGGGACUGUUCAGUAAGGCUACCCUGAGGCAAAACAAGCAUUAAUCUUUGCUUGUGAGUGACCUCCCCUUCUAUUUUAAUCAAUGCUAGUUAUAAUAUUGAAAUUCAGAGUUAGGUUGUUCCCAUUGUAAACCUGUGUAUUUAAAAGCUUAUAUGGUAGCAUUUUCCAUUUCCCUUACUUUUCUCCCUUGAUCUGUGCCAUGAUCCAAAUACAUCACUGUGAUCUACCAUUACAAUAACAGUAGGCCCUGUUUUGAAUGCUUAUGUAGAAUUGUGUAUGAGCUACACAGAAAAAAAACCUAAAGGAAGAAAGGAUAUCAGUCAUAUUGCCCCCCCCUCCAAAAGCUACUCAGUCUUGUAGGUAGGAGUCAGGAAUAGACAUGGGCAUGAACUGGAAAAAAACUCCGAACACCCUGUUCGUCGUUCGGUGCCAUCCACGAACAACGAACAUGGACAAACAUGAACUGUUCCCGGACAUGUUCGUUCUUCAUUGUUCGUGGGGGCCAGAACCCCAUCCCAAACUCCCCCACUUACCCCCCCCUCAAACCCACUUACCUGGCCCUUUAAAGAUCCCUUUAAACUAUCAGCUGGCAGGCGGCAGGGGGGGAUUCCCCCCUGCUGCCUGCUAGCUGAUAGUUUAAAGGGCCCUUACCUGCCAUGUGCAAGGGGCAGGGUCCUUUUAAAACCCCAGAAACUGACCUUCCCAAUGUCCAAUACCCACCAAAUUUGCAGGGGACAUAGUCCUCACUGUCCUCUGAAGACCCCCCAAGUUUCAGAGAGAUUGCACCUCGGAAAAGGCACGAUCCACAGGUCUCCCCGUUGGCUGUAAUUUUCUCUUCACAGAGGCAAAAACGGGACUCUCUGCUGGAAGUACUUUGAAGGGUUAAAGCCAGAAGGAAAGCGAGAAGGAGUUCAGACAGAGUUCAGUCCCUCCCAGCCUCCGGUUGCCAAGGGGAUUGAUUGCAGCAGGUGCCAGACUCUCUGGCUUGCCAAACGCCUGCUGAAGACAACGAACGAGGCUUGCAACGACCACCUGUUCAUUUAGGAUGGGGCCUCAUGAACAGCUUGUUCAAGAACAGCAGAUUCGGCUGUUCAUUGGUUUUUUCUGUUCGUAAUGCUGUUUGUGCCCAUGUCUAGUCAGGAAUAGAAAGGGAGAGAUCCUUUUGUUUCUGAGAAAAGCCCAUUGAAAACUAUUGAUCUUCUGCAAAUAGAGGUUUUAGUGAAAAGGAGAGUGUGCCUCAUAGCAGAGAAUAUCUAGCCAGUUUGGUGUAGUUGUAAGCGGUUGGCCUGGCCUCCGCCAUUUUAAUAACAGCUUCAUAUUUAUGGCUGCUGGUAAUACCAAAAAUGUUCAGGCCUCUGGAAUAAAAUGGCUGUGGUUUGGCCAUCAGAGGACCUCUAGCAGUUGCUGAAUCCCGCCAGGGAGACAUGGCAUGAAUGGAAUGCCACAAAGGAAUGUGGGGUGAUUAAUCGGUGAUUGGACUUGCUAUCUUCCUGGCCUCGCCCAUGACCAGCACAACGAAGGACUCGCAGCGUCAAACCCAUUUAGCACAUUCCUCUCCCUCCUUCCGUGAUGAGAUCUCCUAUCCGUGAUUGAGGAACUGAUCAAAUGACAUUCAUAAGCACAUACAGUUGUUCCUGGCAGAAUUUAUCUCCUCCCUAAAAAUACUUAACCUAGUUCCAGUGUACUUCAUUAGGAAAACCGUCCUUUUAUGCAGUGCGAGAACUAGUUUUACAUUUAUAUUCAUACACCCCAGCAGCUAUCAAUCAAAGUAUUCAAGCCUUUUGUCUUGCCCAGGAACUAGCCGUUGGUGCUUUUGUCCUAACUGCUCGGAGGACUCUCCUCCACCUCAGGACACAUUUCACCUAUAAAGGUAGGCCCUGGCCCCAUUCAAAUUGUGCAAGCUUCCUGGAUUCUCCCUUAGGGUCACUUCCCUAAGCUUCUUGCUUUCUUGGCUAAGGAUGCUGGUGUUUGAAGCUACUCUCUUCCUCCAUGUACUGGACCUCUUCUCCAGGAUAGGUAGAUAUAAUUACUCCCUCUUGCUCUAUUCCCACACCUCUGGCUAUAUUUACUAGGACUCUCUCUUUGUGUGUGUGUGUGAUUAUUUUCCCCCAGUAAUUGGCGUAUAUGUGCAUGAAGUUCUGUUCUUUAAUAAAAGUUACUGAUUGAUUUGAAGCACCAGACUCACUUGGCUUAUUGGGAUUGGGACCCCGUAGACACAGGUGAUUCGAUUCCAGUUACCGCCUCUCGUAUAGCCGUCUUCCUUGCUAGCUAAUUCCCCCAUAAAUCAUAUUUAUGCAAGGAGACCAGUUCAGGUAACAUAGUAGUUAAGAGCGUGGGACUCUAAACUGGAGAACUGGGUUGGAUUCCCCACUCCUCCACUUGAAGCCAGCUGGGUGACCUUGGGUCAGUCACAGCUUCUAGCUCUCUCAGCCCCAACCAUCUCACAGGGUGUUUUGUUGUGGGGAUAAUAAUGACAUACUUUGUAAACCACUCUGAGUGGAUGUUGUCAUCCUGAAGGGCAGUAUAUAAAUCGAAUGUUGUUGUUGUUGUUGUUAUUAGCAAGCAUGGAACUCAUUCAUAGGAUUCCUCUAUUUCUGUUUCUGACUCCCACCUACAAAAUUGAGCAGUUUUUCUGGGACAAAGCAGCUAAUAUUCCUUCUUCCCUUCCUCCCGAGGCUUUAACGGAGAUAAAUGCCACAAAGUAACAAGACAAAGGAGACCAAAGAACUGAAGGGGAUGAAUUUUGUCUUCAAGCCAUUUUCAAUCAUUUUCCAUUCACCAUGUACCAUACCUGUGAUAAGGUGAUAGAUCUGGAAUAUUGGGAUGAAAAGUAGUUGCAUAGGAGCAAUGGAUAAUUUAUAUGAGAGAAAAGAGACAUGAUAGAAUGAUAGAAUGAUGGCAUGAUAGAAUUACAACAGUUAAGAGUGUAAUAUUGCCUAAAUUUAUAUAUCUAUUUAGAACUUUACUCAUAGAAAUAUCAGAAAAUACAUUUUAAAAGUGGCAAAAAUAGUGAACCAGUUUAUCUGGUCAAACAAAAUUUAAAAAAUUGUUAUUUCCCCUUUGAUUUUAAUUUUUUAAUUUUAAGUUUUUAAAAAUAUUGGAUAUUGGGUAUUGGACUAUUGUACAUUUUGUGUGUUUUGUUUUGAUUAAUCAAUAAAAGUUUUUUUAAAAAAAAAUAAGAGAAAAGAGACAGAUUUUUCACCCUCCAGACUGAUUGGAAAUAUAUCUUUGGGAGUGUCUUGCUUCAAAGGACAAGAGCCAGUUACAUAAUCUGAAGGAGGGAGCUCUGACUCUCAAAAGCUCAUACCCUGAAACUCUCAUUGAUCUCUAAACUGCCACUGGACUCAAACGCUGCUCUUAUAUAACUGUUUGAAACUCAUGUUGGCUCUUUUAUCACUUCCUCAAGUGGGAUGUCUAAGCAGAACUGCGAAUCUUUUCAGGUCUGACUUUAAUGAUCACCACUGGUAUAGAUCAUUCUGAUCUAUGUUCCUCAAGGCAGCACUUACUAGCUACAGAGUCAUUCAUCCUCAAGAGCUCAGUUCUUCUAAGUGGAAUUGUCAGAGUAUAAAGGUUACACUCACAUUCCUACUGGAAUCCCAUAUUAUGAUGUACAUAUUAGAAUCAUGAGGGAUGUUGUAUCUUUAGAAGGCUGGUGGAAGAAUCUCUGUUUUCAAUAAGAGUCUGCUAGGUCUAGGAAAUCACCAUGCUUUCAUAGAUAUUUGUUAAUCCAUUGUUUCCUAUUGUGAUUUUAUCUAAGAAUGGUCAAAAUAUUCAUUUUGGUAAAAGGUCUUUGAAUUUCCAACAAUGUACAGGAAAAGCCUCAGAUCAGAGGGUUCAUCUUUAAAUUAAACUCUACUAAAAUGUACUCUAACCCUCAAAGGGGUGAAAAUAGUGAGUAUUUAAUAUUAGUUUUGUGAACAGUUUAUUCCCACCAACAGAAAAACGGUUUUAUUCAAGUAUAAGCCUCAAGGAGUCCUUCUAACUGUUUUGACAACAUCCACUUGAAUAGCUCUCAAGCUUAUAUAUGGCAAUGAUGUUCUACAUAGUAUUCUGCAGUUUGUUUUUAGUAGAGGUCAUGGGAAGAUGUCAAGUUCGUGACUUUAAGAAAAAAAUAAUCAACUUUACCCAGGUAAGUAUAUCUAUGAUAGCCCUGUUGCCUACCAUUUAAAAAAGUGUUUUCAAACCAAAAAACAAUCAACUACAAAAUUGUUCCAAUGUUAUCCUUUCAGUCAAAUGAAAUUGAACUUUGCCUGACUAACGAAUAUGUAAGUAAAUUCAUCUGCUUCAAAUUUUAUUUUUAUGUUGUUCAGUUAUAUGCAAACAGUUUUGAUAGCAAUACUGACUAAGGGUGCGUCUAGAAAAUAUUCAUUAUGUUUUCAUAGCCAGGGCUGUUGAGUGAAAUGUUUAUCGUGAUGGGGUAGUUUUGCAGUGGGUGUUGCUGGGCUGGGGUGGGGUGGGGAAUACAUUAGCCUUUUUCAAUUCUCAUGAUUUUCAUGGCCAUUGUUUCCAAUGGGGAAGAGGAAGAAGGGCAAACUGGACUAUCUUGGGCAGCUGUUUUUGAACUUAACGGUACCAAAAUUGCACAGAACACAGCCCUCUCUCUAAUCUAAAGAACUCUUGAAUUUCAAGCAGAUUGAACAAAGGGGGGGUGAUUUUACAGAGUCCCGAAGUAGGUUGCUCUCUCUGUGCAGCCACACUAUGUUCUCUCUUCUAAUUCCUAAAAUGGCCAUCAAACAGCAGCCAGCAGGAGAUCUCUAGCCAGCCACCAGCAUUUUUCAAAAAAAUGCCGUUUGCUUUCAUUUCAUUUCCCUACUCUUAAAGUGACUAACCUUUUCACUGAAAAUUCUUGCAUUUUUCUUCCUUCCUUGUUGUGGUUUGUUGUUUAUUUCCUUUCAGAAAGAGAGGAAGGCCUCUGUUGUUGGGUCCCUUCCCCAGCCAACAUUGCAAUUUCAUCAUUCCUUUCUGGUAGGGUUCCCAGGUGCCUGCCAGUGGUAGGCAAACUACUGAGGGUUUGCCUCCUUGCCCACUGAUCUGCCAGCAAUCAGCGGGAGGUGGCAAGCACCCUGGAGGUCACCCACCAGUGGCAGGCACCCCGGGAAUAUGCGUGGUGCAUGAGCUUCGGGGGGGGGGGUGCAACAAUGUCAUUUCCAGAAGUGAUGUCAUUGCGCUGGCCGUGCAAGUUCUCUUGCACUUCAUUGGGGCCGAUUUCGGCCCCAAUGGGUUGAAUUGGCCCCAUGCAAAAUGUGGGAGUUUUCAUGCAGUCGGCACAAUAAUGUCACUCCCCAAAGUGAUGUUAUUGUGCAUGCACCAGGAGUGCAUACGCACUCUGCUCCUGCAUGAAUAGGGACACACGAGCAGUACAAGGUAAGUUCUAGCCCCCCUCCCACUGGGAGGGAAGAGGGACCUGGCAACCCUACUUUCUGGGGGUCUGUCAUUUUCAACUAAAUUUCACCAAAAUUGUAGCAGAGAAUCUUCCACCUGUCCUUCAAAGAACCCCCAUGUUUCUAGCAAAUUGGGCAAAGCAUUUGAAUUCUACAGGCCCCUGAACAAUCUCCCCAUUUUAUACUUUCAUUAUUCCCUAUGGAGAAUUUCUAGUGGUGCUGAGUUAUUUUUCAAUCAAAUGUCACCAAAAUUGCAGGGGAGUGUUUUGUGCCUGUCCUUCAAAGAACCCCCCAAGUUUCAAGAAAACUGAGCAAAGUGUUUGAAUUCUACAAGCAACCCCCCUCCCUCACCAUUAGGCUUUUUUUUACUUUCACAAGGAAAAAAGUCUCUCUCCAGCCCACAAGGAGGGGGGGGAGGAGGGGAAUGACAGCUCCCUUUGGGAUUGUACUUUGCUCUUCCCUUGCAACAAUCUGAUUGGAAGGCUGAAAUUCAGUACAGAUUCAAAGUGAAUGUGAUCUCACGCUGUAUUGCUGGUAAAUGCCAGAACUCAAAAAACAAAAAAACAAAACAAAAACAUGGUUUUGUGACUACCAAACAGCCAGUUCAUUCUGAACAGGCACAAGUAAGACCCAGAAACAGUUAUUUUUGUUAUUUUUACGGUUUGUGCACACCCCUAAUACUGACUUUGUUGCUUUUUUUUAGGCACAUAUACAUCUUCCUAUUAACUGGUUCUGUAGGUGUUAUAUCAGAAAGCUGCAGUUUUUCCAUAUAAGUGGCGAAGUUUUUCAAAAUAGUUCCCAGCGCCCUGAUGACAUCAUCAUCAUCAUCAUCAUGAUCAUUAUUAUUCUGUCAAUGAAAGUGUUUGCAGUUGGUUGGAUACAACCCAUAGUAAUAUUAAAAUAUUUUGUAGAUGUACCAAACUGAUUGUAUGUGGACAUGCGUUGAUGAAGGUUUUGAUGUUAUAAGAAAUAAGUUUCCACAACCAAACUCCUUGUGUGCUGAAGAAAUUCUUGUCCUCAGUUCAAGUGAAGAAGAAAUAAAAAAAUAUUGCAAAUUCUUACUCUGUACUGGAACAUGUAAGAAUUCUACUGGAGGAAAUGUAGGAGAAUUUUUAAAAGAUGUCCUAUUAACCCUUGAAAAACUGGUACAGAUCGACAAUACCUUACAUGAAAAUGAAUCGUAAAAGUAGCAUUAUUUAUUAUAUCUAUCACUUAACUAAGUCAGUAAUUUUCUAUACCUUAAAACUAGCAUUCAUAAAAAGAAAAAAGGUUGUCCCCUUGUCUUUUUUAUAUCCUGUUUAAUCUUCCAACAGAUAGUGCCAAGAGUUUUCUCUAUAAAUAAAUGCACUGAUUCAGAAAUUGUGGCCUGGGUUCAGCAAUCCAUCAGUGAAAGAAGCUGACGGUUAUGGAUCUUCUCUCCUUUCCCUUUCCUUAGCAAUCCAUUUUGAUUCCAGGAAAAUUAUUUCCUGGUUACAAGGCACUCAUGUGGAGAAAUAUUUUAUUAUUUUGUUUACAGUCUACCUUUCUCACUGAAACUCAGGCAGAUUAUAGGAUAUAGAUUACAGGCAGUCAGUAUAAGAUAACCAAAGAACAAUGGAAUAGAACUAGGAUUACAGAGAGAACAAUUUAAACAAAUUAUCUAAAACAAAGAUAUACCAUAAACAAUACAGAAAAUGUAUUACAAGCUAUAAGACAAGGUACAAGGCAAUGUAAUAAAAUCAGGUAAGACCUGCAAUAAUCAUUGCACUGGAUUACAAUUCUGUUCCACUGUAAAGUUGCCCUCCUGGGCUGUUCCAUUCUGUUACAGUUCCAAUCUCUAAAAUGCCCUCUUGAACAUUUUUGCUUAUUAUGCAGAAUGACAGAAGUAUAGGAAACUUUCUGAUCUCCUCAGGCAGGCCGUUCCACAAGGCGAGAGCCACCAUUGAGAAUGUAUGUGAAUGAGCACCUUUAGAAGGCUUUGCUCAGACAAACAAAACUGUCACAGUAGAGCAUAGUGGGAGCCGCAACCCUGCACAUAUGUGGGCCCAAGGCCAUAAGGGCUUGGUACACAAUAACCAUAACUUUGAAUUGAACUUGAUAACUGAUUAGUAACCAAUUGCAGAAUGAGAGUAACGUUUGAGUUCUGUCUAGAACCCAGUAGGAAAUAGGCUGCAGUGUUUUGCACCAAGCAGAGUUUUCCAGUAGGCUUUAAAGGUGGACCCAUUUACAGUUCAAUAGUCUAGCCUCGAGGUAACUAUGGCAUGGAUCCAACUGGCCAGAUCAGAUGAACCCAGAUAGGAGGCCAUUUUCCAGACUAAAUUAAGCUGGCAGAAUGCCUGUUUUGUUGGUGCAUUUACUUGCUUCUCCAGAGAAAGUACUGGAUCCAGUAUAACCCCUGGCUCCUUGACUGAGUCAGUGAGUGGCAGGCAGACCACUGCAGUGGUAGGGAGCGCAAUGUUCCUCAAGGCCUCAGCAUUCAGAUUCAGCUUCUUCACCCUUAACCAUUUACCCACAGCAGUAAGGCACUGCUUCAGGAUAUUUACAGCCUCAUCAGGCCAUUUGGAUAAAGAAAGAUAGAGUUGAGUAUCAUCAGCUUAUUGAUGACAGCCUGCUCCAGAUCCAUGAAUGAUUUCUCCACAGGGCUUGACAUACAGAUUGAAUGGCAUUGGGGAGAAGACUGAGGCCCAGGGAACCCCAUUACAAGAUACACACUGAUGACAGUUGGUCUCCAACAGUAACUCUCUGGGUCCUCUCCAUAAGGAAUGAUAAAAAACAGUCCAAAAUGGAACCUUUAAUCCCUGCUUUUGCCUCCUGCAGGGUAUUGGAGUCCAUAGUGUCAAAAGCUGCAGACAGAUCCAGUAAGAGUAACAAAGAGGCAUGGCCUGUGUCCAUAUUCAAACAGAGACCGUCAACUAAAGCUACCACUUCCAGCCGAAAGGCAGUCUGAAUGGGGUCUAGAGCAGAAGAAUCAUCCAGGAAAGCCUGAAGUUGUUUUGUCAUGGCACUAUCAUUUUGCUGAAGAAGAGUAAAUUAGAGUCAGGGCAAUAAUUGGCCACAUCAUUUUUCACUAGUGAAGGCUUUUAAAGUAGUGGACAGAUGACUGCCUGUUUUAGUGACUGGGGAAAGAUGCCCUGGGUCACUGAUAGAUUUAAGAGGGACAUCAGGGCCUGGUUGAUGUGAACCUUGCAUGAUUUCAGUAUUCAGGAUUGACGGGUCCAUAGUACAAGUACACAGUGCAACCUUCAUCAGUCUCAAGGUCUUGUUAACAUCCAUUGCAUUGGAUUAAAAUAAUAAAUGGACCAUGUAAUGUACUGGACCCUUCUAGUGUCUUAACUAGACAUGGGCACAAACCGCAUUACGAACCAAAAAAACCCCCACAAAGCGCCUGAUCGUCUGUUCGCGAUCCGGUGGUUCGUGAGGGUCCAUGGCAAUGAACCAGCGUUUGUUGGAAGCCCGGUUCAUUGCAUUCGCCUGUGGUUCAUGAAGCCAGACAGUCUGGCACGAUCAAUCAAUUCCUUUGGAAACGGAACUAGGGGAAUGCCUGAACUCUGUCUGCACUCCUUCUGUCACCCUGGAAACCCAAAUCGAAGCCCAGCUGACCUUGAUUGGCAGGUCUUCCUUCCAACCAUGUAGCUGCAAAUUGGUUACAGUUGGUUACAUGGGCGAAGACACCCGGGGGGAGGGAGGGGGAAGGGGGUGUUCUGUAGCCAUGGCACUCCAAUCUCAUCCCUGCAAACCCUGAUAGGCAGUUCUGACAGCCAGCCCCUUGUACACUGGGCCAACAUCAACUGGUGGCUCUAAUUGUAUCGAGUGGGAGUUUCCUGGGGGCCUCGGAUUGGAGAGGGUAUAACUCCAAGAUCUAUUGCAAUCUUGACCAAACUUGGGUGCUGGCUGGAGGAGAUCCUGCUAAACACUCCCUGUGAAUAUGGACUCCCUAAGUGUAACGGGGGCCAUUCUGAUGCCCAUGAACCACAAAGUGGUUCAGUAACGGGAAAUGUUCAUUACGGUUCGUUUGUUCAGAUUUGUCGGUGGCACCAAACCACAAACCACAGGUUCGUUAAUUUUUUUUGGUUCAUGCCCAUGUCUAGUCUUAACUAUAUUCCAACAGGCAUCAAAAUCAGAAUGUAUUUAAGAGAUUUAUCAGCAAAUAGCUUUGCAAAAGCAUUGUAACUAAUAAUUAGAUCAUGAGAAUGUAAAGACAGUCUUUGGAAUCAACAAGUGCCAAAAUACUUUAAACAACUAAGCUGGGCAUGAACUAGCCAAAGCUGUGGCAGCAGAGAAGUCAGAUUUUUUUGCUGCUCACUUCAUAGGAUUUCUAAUGAGCUCUACAUUUCAUCAAUUUCAUCAAUACCAUUCUAGACGUCACUCCGCUCUCCUCAGAUCAGUCAGCUCCAUUGUGAACCAAGGUGCUGGGUUGUGCCUCAAAGAUGGGAGAGGAUGAAGGGAAUAACCACACUGAUAGUUUCCCAGAGUUUCCCAUUCCAUGCUCCUACUUUUGCCUCAACAGAGCUGUCAACUGGGACCUUAAAAUCCCUGAAGGAAUUCAGGACACGGGGGGGGGGGGGGGAAUCACUCUUCCUACCUCUUUCAUCAGCAAUGCUGCACUGGUAGAAGAGGAAGAAACAGAAAGUUUUGCACCCUUGUCCCUCCCUCGAUGCAAUCCAUUGUCCUGUGUGGACAAGCAUGUGCGUGCACUCGUGGUCAGGGGCACCCUAUAUGAGCAGGCAGUUCAGGAGGGUUUGCCUGAAGCAGAGGUAGUCAAGUGUGUGGUAAUCCCACCCAUCGUAGUUGGCUUGGCAUCAAAGUCCUGCCUGGUGAGUGUGUGAUGAAUGGCCAAGGGGCCAGCCAGAGUGGGGGGCCUAGGGACUGGCCUCACCUUCCCUUGUUAUCUGUUAGCACCCUCACAUCUCUCAUGCAGAUGAAUUGCUCGGCAGGGACGUCACUCCUGAGUAAUCAGGUGACAUGGGCGAAGAGGCAGUGAGGAAGAGGGUAACCCAGGAAUUGGCCAGCCAGCCCUGGCUACAGAAGAGGUUGAACUGGUUGCAUGGCCCUGCAGCAGGCAACCCUGCUGGGGACCCUGUGCCUACACCCUCCAUCUCUGGGCCGAGGAUGGGAGCCAGGAGGAAAUGGAGCUAGCCAAUGUGGGGGAUGAGCCCAGUGCCAGGGAAGCAGACACGUAAGGAGACAGAGGUGAGUAGAUGGAGCAGCAGACGUGUCCCAGAACACAGGCAGCAUGCUUGGGGUCUGGCCACAUGACCUGAGCUCCUGGUUUUGUCAGCCCAGGAGCCUGCACACUGACAUUUACUGCUGGAUUGGUGGUGUAUCUCUAAACCCUGACCACAUCACAUCAGGCCAAUGUAGCAGGAACACCUGUUCUCCAGACUCUAGGGAUCACUGGGUCCAGAGAGCUGGCAGCCACUGAAGGCAAACUCGACAUCCUCCAAUAGGGGCAGGGCAACACUCCCAGGGAACACAGAGGGAGGUAGCAGCUGAUGAGGUAGUUAGACCAGACUGGAGCUUCAGUGGGCUCCAGACCAGAGUGGGACAUGUGGUAAGCGGAGCCAUGUCAGGGACCCAGGCACAGGGCAUCUUGCCUUGCUCAGCACAUCCUCCUCAUCCUCUCUACUGUGUGGACGGUGAUCAAGAGGGAGCACUUGGAGACCUACCAUGAGUGGAGGGAGACUGUGUCCCAGGUCAUAUGUGCAUGGCUGGUCUGACUGCAUCUGCAGUGGCAGCUGUGGACCACCUAGGGGAUCAGUUGGUUGUCAUGUGUGAUGACCAGGCACACAGAGGGGCUGCUUGGGGAGGUCACAGCUGUAGCUUGUGGCCCAUCGCCAGCCCCCUCUCAUCCCCUCACCUGCAGUGGUGGCCCAGGCACACAGGUAGCCACUGGCAAUGUGACCAGCCCGCUGGAAGCCUCCCCCCACAGACAGUGACAGCAGCAUGCCCUUGAGUAGGAUUCUGUCCACUCCUUGUCCACCAGGGAGUGUGCCCUCAAGCUGCUCCUCUGGCAUGCUCUGGCUGAAACCCUUCUGCUGGCUCUGUCCCAUUUGAUGAGGCAGUCACCUCAUGCCACCUUUGAAGCAGGCUGCACCUUCCAUGGAGGGGGCACAUGACUGUUUACUAGGGCAGCAGUGGCGGGGGGUGAUGGACUUCUAGAACUCUAGCGCCUUGGCUGCCAGCCUGACCCUUGCCGUGUUCCCUGCCUGCUGCUUGGCUGAGCAACUCCUUCCACCCAUGCACUGGACUCCUCUCAGGACAAGUGCCUCUGUGGGAGUGUGGCAUGAUUGCAGGGGGUCCUUACACCCCGAGCACUUGCUCUUUGCAGGGGAGGUGAGCAACAUUGACAGUCUAUGCUAGGGGGCCAUCCAUCAAGGAGUGGAGACUCAACGCCCUGCCUGUCCCAGAUGGGGAAUGAUGGGGCCCGUCUCGCCAUCACCUGGGCUCCUCCCCACAGACAACAUCCCCUGAGCUAGGUGCCUCAGUUCAGGCACCAUGAUCACGGGGGCCUGUAGUCCCUGGCUGCCUGCUCUCUGGAGGGGAGUAUAAAGGUGUUGACAGGCAGUGGAGAUCAUGGCCUGUGCAUUGGCUGCGCCUUUGCUUGCCACUCUCAGGCCUGUCAGGAGGUACAGCGUGGCCAUUAGUAGAUACUAGUAAGGUUGUCAGGGAAACGAGGAGGCAUGCACUCCCUGCUGCGGCCUCACCAUGCCUUGCCUGGCUUGGGCACCGGUGUAGCUCUCCAAUGAAAGUCCAUAGGGAGGGGACAAGGAGCACCACAGAUAUGCUGGCAUGUAGGUUCCAGUGGGAAGGCAGUCCUUAGGACUGUGCUGUUCAUUAACUAACUAUUGGCAGAGCAGAACAAAUUAUCAACAUACCAGACAUUUGCUGUAAAGGUACAAAAUAGCCAUGCAGAUAUGUAGUCAAUGGCAGUUUCCUGUUACUGAGUUCAUUUCUUGUAAGAAAUUGCUGAAAUUUUGGAUUCAUUAGCACACCAGUUAUAAGAAACCACUGAGUUUGCAUAUCAUGCACUAAACUCUCAUAUGUGUUUUGUGAUGAACCAUUUGAGGAAUUAAUAUAACUGAAAUGACUUAAGCAGUUCUGCUAAGGAGUAUGUCAAAAGAA